CCUACGGGAGGCAGCAGUGAGGAAUAUUGGUCAAUGGACGAGAGUCUGAACCAGCCAAGUAGCGUGAAGGAUGACUGCCCUAUGGGUUGUAAACUUCUUUUAUAUGGGAAUAAAAUGUUCCACGUGUGGGAUUUUGUCUGUACCAUAUGAAUAAGGCUCGGCUAACUCCGUGCCAGCAGCCGCGGUAAUACGGAGGAUCCGCGCGUUAUCCGGAUUUAUUGGGUGUAAAGGGAGCGUAGGUGGAUUGUUAAGUCAGUUGUGAAAGUUUGCGGCUCAACCGUAAAAUUGCAGUUGAAACUGGCAGUCUGGAGUACAGUAGAGGUGGGCGGAAUUCGUGGUGUAGCGGUGAAAUGCUUAGAGAUCACGAAGAACUCCGAUUGCGAAGGCAGCUCACUGGACUGCAACUGACACUGAGGCUCGAAAGUGUGGGUAUCAAACAGGAUUAGAUACCCCUGUAGUC
rnacentral:rRNA from 1 species